GACGAACGCUGGCGGCAUGCUUAACACAUGCAAGUCGAACGAUGAAGAAGAGAAACGCGAACUUCGGUUCAAAUUUCACUUCGGAUUAGUGGCAGACGGGUGAGUAACGCGUGAGCAACCUACCUCUUACAAAGGGAUAGCCUCGGGAAACCGUGAUUAAUACCAUAUGACACAUUCAUAAGGCAUCUUAAGAAUGUUAAAGCUACGGCGGUAAGAGAUGGGCUCGCGUCCCAUUAGCUAGUUGGUGAGGUAACGGCCCACCAAGGCGACGAUGGGUAACCGGCCUGAGAGGGUGAACGGUCACAUUGGAACUGAGACACGGUCCAAACUCCUACGGGAGGCAGCAGUGGGGAAUAUUGCACAAUGGAGGGAACUCUGAUGCAGCGACGCCGCGUGAGCGAUGAAGGAAUUCGUUUCGUAAAACUCUGUUCUAUGGGAAGAAAAGGACUGUACCAUAGGAGAAAGCCCCGGCUAAAUACGUG
rnacentral:rRNA from 1 species